rnacentral:lncRNA from 1 species
CAAUAUCAUAUUUUGACAAAAAAAACUCUAACCAAAUAAUAUUUUCUACUAACUAAAUUCAGCAAUACCUAUUCCGGUAGACUGCCAUGUAACGUACGGUUAAUUAUUGAGAUAUCAUUAAAGCGGUAGGUAAAUGUGGGUACAACCUGCCAUAAAGAUAAAUCUAUUUAAUAAGUAUUAUAAGAAAAUUUUAUAAAACUACAUUCAUUACAUAAAUA